UAGAGUUAGUCUUUGGCUGAGAAUGGUUCUCAGAUUUUGGGGUUUCUUCAGUUUUUGGUUCUUCCGUGAGGGUUGAGAUUGUUGUUUGUUUUAUUCUCUUUUGCUUCCGCUAUUAAUCCCUGCUGAUCUUGGAAAGGCCCAGGAGUUGAGACUGUCACCCUACACUACUACAAUAAGUUAAUCAGACGACGGGUAUUUGUAGUUGUGUGAUAACCAGCAUCACUGUGGUCUAAACGAGUGU